rnacentral:rRNA from 1 species
UUCGGCCGAGUAGAGUGGCGAAAGGGUGAGUAAUGCAUAGAUAACCUACCCUCAGGACCGGAAUAACCGCUGGAAACGGCGGCUAAUGCCGGAUGGUCUGGUCGGGCGGCAUCGUCCUUCCAGUAAAUGGUAGCUUCCGGGCUUCUGCCUGAUGAGGGGUCUAUGUCCUAUUAGCUAGUUGGUGAGGUAACGGCUCACCAAGGCGACGAUGGGUAGCCGGACUGAGAGGUUGGCCGGCCACACUGGGACUGAGACACUGCCCAGACUCCUACGGGAGGCUGCAGUCGAGAAUCUUCCGUAAUGGACGCAAGUCUGACGGGGCGACGCCGCGUGCAGGAUGAAGGCCUUCGGGUUGUAAACUGCUGUUGCAUCUUACGAACCCCCGGGAGUUAAUAGCUCUCCGGGAUGACCAGGGUGUGAGGAAGCACAGGCUAACUCCGUGCCAGCAGCCGCGGUAAUACGGAGUGUGCAAGCGUUACUCGGAAUCACUGGGCAUAAAGCGCGCGUAGGCGGGCAUUCAAGUCGGUUGUGAAAUCCCUCAGCUCAACUGAGGAACUGCAGCCGAUACUGUCUGUCUUGAGGACGAGAGGGGAGAGUGGAACUUCUGGUGGAGCGGUGAAAUGCGUAGAUAUCAGAAGGAACGCCGGUGGCGAAAGCGACUCUCUGGCUCGUAUCUGACGCUGAGGCGCGAAAGCUUGGGUAGCAAACGGGAUUAGAUACCCCGGUAGUCCAAGCCGUAAACGAUGAACAC